GGUUCACUUCCGGAACAUGACGCCGGCGAUCCCAAUUAUGCUGUGUCAAUCUGUUGGCAGCCAAGCUGAGGUAUUCUAGAGGGAAUGCCGUAAGUAGGUGUUUAUUUAAUGUUUGAGAUGUCAAAAACCCUGAAACGUCGGUGCCGUGUUAAAAGAACCGACGAUUUAUAUGUUCAAGCUAAAAUGCUAGGCCAUAGUCGUACCUCCGUUGGACAUUCAUCGACUACUGUUUGUAAAACUAAUAGACGUGAUUGUUGAAACUCUGUAUUGAAAAGGCUUGAGAAUAUAUUCCAUGUGUAUUGCUUAAUUUUUAGAAGUUUUCAACGCUGUUGCAGGCAUGUGUGUGGCCAGCUAUGUGGGGCGGGUUGAGCGUGAACCAGGAAGUGCGGGGAUCUCGCGUGUGUGUGCGCGCGCUGUUCUCUUGUUGCUGGGUAGUCGAAAAAGUUGACCGGAAGCAGGCGGCAACCGUGUUUCUUUCUCUGACGAAGUCAGGCCGCCCCUUAACACGCUUUGGGGCUGAAAAUACUGACAGUUCACACCGCCACGACCGUGAAGAAGUGCCGAAGAAACGGUUUGUCUAGCAACAGCAUCGUUUUCACUGGCGCCAAUUUAAUUCGGUAUGGAGUCGGCGUUCCAACACCCUGACGGAGGGCGUUGGAGAACACUGGAGUUGCCAUGUAACUCAGACGCCGCACAAGCAAUGCUCCAAGGUCAGUAUCAAAGUUUUAAGUCACGCUGAAGCACGAAUAGUGGCGUUUCGCUUCGACAAUAGGACAAUAUACAGUAUAUAAACGAUGUCGAAGUUGACGAGCUGAAGCCGAAGUCGCCAUUUUGUGGACAUAAUUGGCGCGCAGAAUGCUCGAAAUGACGGAGAACACUGGAGUUGCCAUGUAACUCAGACGCCGCACAAGCAAUGCUCCAAGGUCAGUAUCAAAGUUUUAAGUCACGCUGAAGCACGAAUAGUGGCGUUUCGCUUCGACAAUAGGACAAUAUACAGUAUAUAAACGAUGUCGAAGUUGACGAGCUGAAGCCGAAGUCGCCAUUUUGUGGACAUAAUUGGUGCGCAGAAUGCUCGAAAUGACGGAGAACACUGGAGUUGCCAUGUAACUCAGACGCCGCACAAGCAAUGCUCCAAGGUCAGUAUCAAAGUUUUAAGUCACGCUGAAGCACGAAUAGUGGCGUUUCGCUUCGACAAUAGGACAAUAUACAGUAUAUAAACGAUGUCGAAGUUGACGAGCUGAAGCCGAAGUCGCCAUUUUGUGGACAUAAUUGGUGCGCAGAAUGCUCGAAAUGACGGAGAACACUGGAGUUGCCAUGUAACUCAGACGCCGCACAAGCAAUGCUCCAAGAUGAAAAGCCGCUUGUCGCUUAACAGCCCGUGGGAUCCCUCUCCAUCCAUCCCAACAUGAGCUCCAAAUGGGAGCGUCAUCUGAUGCCAUAGGUUCUCCAAGGGGCAGUUUCACCUAUUGCACGCACAAGACGGCAUUUUCUCUGACAACUACACUCUUCUUAAUCACCACUUGUACUUAAAGCUAAACCAACUGUAACACUUGUCUAUACGAGUGGAGCAUCUGUUAACAAUGGAAGUAUUAUUUUGCAAGAAUUUAGUCCUAUGAAAAGCCGCUUGUCGCUUAACAGCCCGUGGGAUCCCUCUGCAUCCAUCCCAACAUGAGCUCCAAAUGGGAGCGUCAUCUGAUGCCAUAGGUUCUCCAGUGGACAGUUUCACCUAUUGCACGCACAAGACGGCAUUUUCUCUGACAACUACUCUCUUAAUCACCACUUGUACUUAAAGCUAAACCAACUGUAACACUUGUCUAUACGAGUGGAGCAUCUGUUAACAAUGGAAGUAUUAUUUUGCAAGAAUUUAGUCCUGUAAGUACUGACAAAUAAUGACACACUUUGUAUAAGGAAUGUUUUUCAGUAUUUACGGGUUACAAUCACUCCACUUGUGUACUUUUUGGACCUUGAAAUCAAUUUGUGUCAUUUCACAAGUAAUGUUGCAGUAAUUGUAAGUGACAACCAGAUGGCGGAAAUUCCCAAGUAUAGUUGCAGUAAUUUAAAGUGACCACUACAUGGCAGAAUUUCCCAGGUAUAGUUGCAGUAAUUUUAAGGGUUUGGGGUUAGGGCUAAGCUAGGGCUAGUUAGGGUUAGGGGGUUAGGGUUGGGGGUUAGGGUUUGGGCUAUGGUUAGGGCAGGGUUAGGGGCUAGGGCUCGGGCUAUGCAAUCCAUAACAUAAUGUGAACGACUUUGGGCCAAAUUGACAAUGAUUUUUUAAAAGUAUGUUUCGCUACCCUCGUCAUAGUCAAUGACAACUGAAGCUAAAAGUGGUUUAUUUGGAAAUAUUUUGUUUGAUGAGAAAAUCCCUUGAUGUCCUGGUUACGUUGCGAGCAUGGUGUGUAAAGUUUGUGUUGGAACCUAUUGCCAUCAGAGGCGAGGCAUCUGUUAGGUGAGUGUAAGCCGCUGAUUUUAUCUUUGAGCAUCAUUGUGACAACGGAAGAGAAAGCACACUCAUAACCCAUCUCCCUUAUUCGGUCUAUUUUAAUGGCGACUAAAAAACCUACUUCUGAACACCGCAUCAUUGCAAUAAGUAUUCAAUGCAGGAAUGAAUUUUAUAUUAUAUAUAUAUAUUAUAUAUAUAUUAUAUAUAUAUUAAUCUUACAACUUCUGUUACAGAUGAAAAGCCGCUUGUCGCUUAACAGCCCGUGGGAUCCCUCUUCAUCCAUCCCAACAUGAGCUCCAAAUAGGAGCGUCAUCUGAUGCCAUAGGUUCUCCAGUGGACAGUUUCACCUAUUGCACGCACAAGAAGGCGUUUUCUCUGACAACUAUUCUCUUCUUAAUCACCACUUGUACUUAAAGCUAAACCAACUGUAACACUUGUCUAUACGAGUGGAGCAUCUGUUAACAAUGGAAGUAUUAUUUUGCAAGAAUUUAGUCCUAUGAAAAGCCGCUUGUCGCUUAACAGCCCGUGGGAUCCCUCUUCAUCCAUCCCAACAUGAGCUCCAAAUAGGAGCGUCAUCUGAUGCCAUAGGUUCUCCAGUGGACAGUUUCACCUAUUGCACGCACAAGAAGGCGUUUUCUCUGACAACUACUCUCUUCUUAAUCACCACUUGUACUUAAAGCUAAACCAACUGUAACACUUGUCUAUACGAGUGGAGCAUCUGUUAACAAUGGAAGUAUUAUUUUGCAAGAAUUUAGUCCUAUAAGUACUGACAAAUAAUGACACUUUGUAUAAGGAAUGUUUUUCAGUAUUUCCGGGUUACAAUCACUGCACUUGUGUGCUUUUUGGACCUUGAAAUCAAUUUGUGUCAUUUCACAAGUAAUGUUGCAGUAGUGGUAAGUGACCACUAGAUGGCGGAAUUUCCCAGGUUAAGUUGCAGGGAUUUAAAGUGACAACCAGAUGGCGGAAAUUCCCAAGUAUAGUUGCAGUAAUUUAAAGUGACCACUACAUGGCAGAAUUUCCCAGGUAUAGUUGCAGUAAUUUUAAGGGUUUGGGGUUAGGGCUAAGCUAGGGCUAGGGCUAG